rnacentral:lncRNA from 1 species
UGGGAGUCACAAAGGACUCGCCAACAAGACAACUGGUAGUGCUAGGGAGGCCUGCGGAGAAGGAGAAAUAGGUAAAAGGUGGUAGGAGAAACGGGGUCUCCUCAUGUUGCCCAGGCUGGUCUCGAACUCCUCAAGCGAUCCACCUGCCUCAGCCUCCCAGAGCACUGGAAUUACAGGCGUGAGCCACCCCGCGGGGCCUGCUGAGCUUUAUUGGAAAGUGGCUAGUCCGAAUUGAGAUGUGAUAUAAGUGUGAAAUACACACACUAGAUUUUGAGGACUGAGAAUGAGAAAAAGAAUGUAAAAUAUCUCACUAACUUUAUAUGAAUCACAUGUUAAACAUAAUAUUUUGGAUAUAUUUGGAUAAAUAAAAUGUUAUGACAACUUCA